UGAGAGGGAUGGUUUUGUGGGGAAACACACGAGAGACUGGACUGCGGGGACUGUGCGUAGACCUACAGGUAGCAGGGCCAUUGGUUUGUGUGUGUGCUUUCCUGUGCUCUCUUGGGUUUUCUUUGUUUUCCUUCCCCACGAGCUCACGGAGAAUCCAAAUCCAGGACAGCUGAGGGAAUCCGCGGGGCUCGGAGGAUGGCCGGACGAGUGCUGUAAGCUGACCUGGACAGAAACCUCAAUGGCAACGCUGCUUCGUGAACGAGGAAGCCGGAAGCAAGGGUGCGUUCGAGAGAGUCGGGAGCUGCGCGUCGGUUGGUGGUGGAUGGCCUGGGAACGCGUGAUUGGAACCUUGGGGGUCAGUAGGAGGCGCGUGGUGUGGAUACGAGACUGUGAAGGGUUGCUUGUCAUUGGCAGAGCUGACAGGCAUCCAGACUGGGCACAGUUUGUCAUUUUCUUCUUGGGGGGAGGGAUUUCGUGGGUCGGCUGGGAAAAGCCCCAGAUGGACUUGAUGUUUUUUUCAUUGUCUGUCUUUCAUGUUGAGUGGCCCCCUGCUGGUGAACGAGAAGGUUGCAGCUGUGACCUGCCAGCCAGAAAAGACUUUCUUAUCACUGUGUGUAGUGUUGUACUUGAAGUGAGUGCUUUUCCUCCCGUGUGUUCACUGAUAUUUAUGCUGGCUGUUAUGGCUGUGAAGGAAUUGUGAAAGUGCUAGAUAGGGGGUACAAAUAAAUACUGUUAAACUA